AUUCACUCACGCUUGAGGGUGGGGACCCUUUAUAGGCUCUUUGUGACGCUUCCCCAGGCACACCCAGACGACUAAGCUGCAGUGAAAAACAUGUCCCAGUUCAUCGGUGAACAGGGAGUAGAAUAUGGACAGUAUUGAAUAAUGCCAGAUACUAAAGGAAGAAAACGUGCGAGAAACCCUCUUGUUUAUACAGGAUAGUAACAUUUUCUUAGCCCCAUCUUCGUAUGGUGCCGUACACCUGAAAUGAAACUAAAUAUGUCUUUAAUUUGAAGUCAACGAUUAUGUUACAAAAUAGAAAGUCGAGUCGCUUAAAAAUCAAAUGCCAAGGUCACACAGCAGG
rnacentral:lncRNA from 1 species